CGCGUAGGCGGUUUCGACAGUCAGGCGUGAAAUUCCCGGGCUUAACCUGGGGCUGCGCUUGAUACAUCGAGGCUUGAGUGAGGAAGAGGGUCGUGGAAUUCCCAGUGUAGAGGUGAAAUUCGUAGAUAUUGGGAAGAACACCGGUGGCGAAGGCGGCGACCUGGUCCUUUACUGACGCUGAGGCGCGAAAGCGUGGGGAGCAAACAGGAUUAGGAUACCCUGGUAGUCCACGCCGUAAACGAUGUGUGCUGGAUGUUGGGUGACCUAGUCACGCAGUGUCGUAGCUAACGCGGUAAGCACACCGCCUGGGGAGUACGGCCGCAAGGUUGAA
rnacentral:rRNA from 1 species